UACAGAGACUGCAAGCGUUAUUCGGAUUCACUGGGCGUAAAGGGUGCGCAGGCGGUUGGGUGUGUCAGAUGUGAAAUCCCGAGGCUUAACUUCGGAACUGCGUCUGAAACUACUCGACUAGAGUAUUGGAGAGGGUAACGGAAUUCACGGUGUAGCAGUGAAAUGCGUAGAUAUCGUGAGGAACACCAGAGGCGAAGGCGGUUACCUGGACAAUUACUGACGCUCAGGCACGAAAGCGUGGGGAGCAAAAGGG
rnacentral:rRNA from 2 species